AUUUGAUGUCAAAAUUGGCUAUUCGGUCGGAUUUGUAUUCGGUAAUAAUAAUAAUAAUAAUAAUAAUAAUUUUUUUGGAUUUGAAUUUGAAUUCAAUUUUUAUUUGGAUGCAGAUUCGGAUUAGGGUACGGAUCCUAAUACUUGCAUUUAACUUUGUUUUUUUUUUUUUGAGAAAGGUUGCAUAUAUGCUAUCUGCUUCAUUUAUUUCAUUUAGAAAUAAACUUAGCUGGAAAUAUAAAUCAACUAGGAUUCGAAGUUGGGUUUCGGAUACCAACCACCAAGUCCUUUUAUCACUUGCGCUACGGACGGUCGGUAGCCAAGUUUGGU
rnacentral:lncRNA from 1 species